rnacentral:rRNA from 1 species
UACGAAGGGGGCUAGCGUUGCUUGGAAUCACUGGGCGUAAAGGGCGCGUAGGCGGCCUUCUAAGUCAGACGUGAAAUCCCCCGGCUUAACCUGGGAACUGCGUCUGAUACUGGAAGGCUUGAGUGCGGGAGAGGGAUGUGGAAUUCCAGGUGUAGCGGUGAAAUGCGUAGAUAUCUGGAGGAACACCGGUGGCGAAGGCGGCAUCCUGGACCGACACUGACGCUCAGGCACGAAAGCGUGGGGAGCAAACAGG